rnacentral:snRNA from 1 species
UUAUUACUUGGUAAGAUUCCGG